ACACUGAUUCCCUGCUCCUUCAACUUCCCUUACUUAUUAUGGUCCGUCACGUGAUUCACUUCUUCCCACAUUUUUCAAAAAACACGCUACUAACGGGAACAAAUAGCCCUCGACAAAACGAAGCAAAUUUACACCUAGUCCACACGGAAAGUACACUAGGGUUGCUCACAUUCAAUUGCUACCAUCCCUCUUCCUCUCCCUCUCCCUCUCCCUCUCCCUCUCCCCUGAAAGUAGAUAACGCAAAUACCAACAAUUUCGUAUAAGAUAAUUUAAAGCUAAACUACCUUCCAAAUAAUACCUUCAAAUUAAUUUCAUUUUCAUAUCCGCCGUGCCACCGCCGCGUCCGAGCAAUCGCGAGUUCACCGGGUAAAGCGCCGACAAAAGACACGGUAGAGUGGAACCACACGAGAAAAACUUACUCUCCGACCGCCGUGGAUGGGCCAAUCAGCUUCCACCACUACUGCAGUUCAAAAUCACAUCCAUCAUUCAAGGUCAAAAUCUAGAUCUACCGGCGUUAUCUCGCCGAUGAAGGAAAAUGAGGAUUCUGAUGAUGUUAUCGACGUGUUCGAGGUUGGAGAGUUUGAUUAUUCAUCUAAUAUUCCGGAUGAGUGCGUGGCUUCUAUCUUCCAGUCUCUUAGCUCGGGUGACCGUAAACGCUGCUCCCUCGUCUGCCGCCGUUGGUUCCGGAUCGAAGGUCAAAGCCGUCACCGUUUAUCGCUCAACGCGCAAUCGGACCUUGCUUCUGUGAUUCCGUCCAUUUUCUCUAGGUUUGAUUCGGUUACGAAGCUCGCUUUGAAAUGCGACCGUAGAUCUACGAGUAUCGGAGACGAUGCAUUGGUCCUCAUCUCCCUGCGGUGCCGUAACCUCACACGUUUGAAGCUUCGAACAUGCCGGGAGAUUACUGACGCCGGAAUUGAAGCUUUUGCGAAGAAUUGCAAGGGUUUGAAAAAGCUGUCUUGUGGAUCGUGUUCCUUCGGUGCCAAAGGCAUGAAUGCCGUGUUGGAUAACUGCUCCUCCCUUGAAGAGUUAUCAGUGAAACGGCUCCAUGGCAUUACAGAUGGCGCAGCGGCAGAGCCAAUCGGUCCUGGUAUUGCCGCAGCGUCUCUCAGAGUUAUAUGCUUAAAGGAGCUCUAUAAUGGACAGUGUUUUGGACCGUUGAUUAUAGGAUCGAAGAAUUUGCGGACGUUGAAGCUCUUCCGAUGCUCUGGAGAUUGGGAUAGGCUUCUGGAAGUGAUAGCUGAUCAGGUAUGUGAAGUGGUUGAAGUUCAUCUUGAGAGGCUUCAGGUUAGUGACAUUGGACUUGCUGCUCUCUCUAAAUGUUCGAAUCUCGAAAUUUUGCACCUUGUUAAAACACCAGAAUGCACGAAUUUCGGCUUAGUGGCUGUUGCUGAACAUUGUAAGCUUCUCCGGAAGCUCCAUAUUGAUGGAUGGAAGACUAACCGGAUAAGUGAUGAAGGGUUAAUUUCUGUUGCUAAACAUUGUCCCAAUUUGCAAGAAUUGGUUUUGAUUGGUGUGAAUCCAACGCGUGCUAGUUUGGAGAAAUUGGCUGCAAACUGUCUCAACUUAGAGAGAUUAGCUCUAUGUGGGAGUGAGACUGUUGGGGAUCCCGAGCUUUCGUGCAUAGCCUCAAAGUGUAUUGCAUUGAGAAAACUAUGUAUAAAAAGUUGCCCUGUAUCCGACCAAGGUAUGGAAGCGCUGGCUAGCGGAUGUCCAAAUUUGGUAAAAGUGAAGGUUAAGAAGUGUAGAUUGGUGACUUCUGAGGCCGCAGAUUGGUUGAGGACCACUCGAGGUUCUCUUGCUGUGAACUUGGAUGCAAAUGAACCUGAAAUUCCUGAUGCAAGCGCCAGUGAUAGUGUUGCGAAUGAGGUUGGCCAGGAAAAUAGGCAGAUGGCUAGCCAAGUAAGCGGUAGUGCUAAUAUUGCAUUAAGCAAUACUGGAAGGUCAAAUUCCUUUAAGGCAAGGUUAGGACUCAUAACGGGACGGAAUUUGAUGGCUUGCACAUUUAGAAGGUGGUCAAGCUUUGGUGGCAGUUUCAGUUCCAGAAAUAAUUAGAGAAGGCAUUGACUGAUUUUCAAUUAGAGAAACCAGCAUUGAUGUGUUCAAUGGAUGAAAUCUUGUAUGAGGAUGGAGAUAAAGAUAUGUGGUGUGUGUCAUUAUCCAUAAAAAGUUCAUUUGCCUUUCCAACGGUCUGAAAAACUGGUGAAUCUAUUAGUCACCACUGGAGGUGGGGAUAAGCUCCAAUCACAUUGUUGCUGGAAUCUUUUAUUUAUUCAUUCAGCAAGGUGCAACUUAAUGAAUGGACUUGAACUUAAUUA